UAUGUAGUCGUAUAUUUAUUGACUUAAAUGAGUCAGUAUUCUGUCCUGUGACGGAAGGCCAUGUGAGCCGAGUCAUAUUCGAAAUGGCGUGAGACCGUAUUAGGCCAAAUCAUGUUCGAAGUGGCGUGAGGUUAGGUAGGCCGAGUCACAAUCGAGAUCCGUGGGCGCUGUAUCUAUAUAUUUUAAGUGAAUUGGUUGCGUAUUUCUAUCAUCUCGAGCUUUUAGGAUUAAUGAUUAGCGCCAACGAUCCGACAAUAUUGAAGUGCUUGGAAAAAAAAAAAAAGAAGAGAGAAGAAAAAAGUGGAAGUUUUAGUUUAUUUUGUACUGCAGUAGUA
rnacentral:lncRNA from 1 species